rnacentral:lncRNA from 1 species
GGAGGCUGAGGCUGUAGGUGGGCUCCGCUGGGUAAAAGUUGCCGCAGCAGCUGUCCCUUGGCCCCAUCGCGAUUUAUUUUUCCCCCUUGCUUUCCGGGUCCCGGGAUCCCAAGUUUGUAACUAACGGGAGCGAAUCCACACCCGAGCAAAAUGUUUGCGAGUUUCAGGCGCCCUUAGUUGAAAGGCUGUAAUUAACAAGUCCGCUGUUUGCCAGCCAGGCGCCGUUGCAGGCGCUUUCUGUGGAUUGUCAUUUAUUUCUCACAGCAACCCUAGGAGAUGAAAUUGAAUCAUGGAAGAAUGCCUUUAUCUGAGGAGUCAUCACCACUAGGGAGCUAUGGAGGCUGUUAUCCUUGACAUCUGCAGCAGCCCUUCCAAGCUGUGGAGACCAGGUCAUCUGGAAUGCCCAUUUAUGUCAAUGGAAGAAAGAAAAAGGGGUCUCCUCCCAUCCUCACCACUGCAUUCUCCCACCAACCCUGCUCCUGUCCCACUUCCCACAACUCAGUUGUUGACAAUUUAACAGUGGGUUUCUGGAAACAGUGCUGCCUCCUUGAUGGUCUAACUAACUACCAGAGUUAUUCUAACAGCAGGAAUUUCAAGCCAGGUAAGGGGAGCUAUGUCAGGCUGCCAGAUGGUGGGGAAGACAGGUGUGGGUGAGCUGGCUUCAGACUAAAGGAAGAGGAGAUCAAGUGUUGGAAUCACAUUUGAGAAAAGGAGUCAAGUGAACUUCAUUACCCAUUAUAGAGGCCUGUUAUAUCCUUUAGUGCUAUUUGGACUUGGAUUGAACCUGUGACAAAUCCUUUUCUUAUGCUUCUUCCAUCCCUGCUUCCAUGUUAUAUCCUUUCCCCUUCUAAAAUGGUAAUAAUGAGAAAUAACUAUUACUAAUUACCCU